GUGUGGAAGAAGAGCUUUAGGAAAGGCUUUCUAAGGGUGAGAAAGAGAAGUGUUGGGCUACAAAGGUUUUGAGUAGAUGCCCGAGAGCGCUAGACUUGAAGCGUUAGAUAGCUUAGUCACCUUGUCUAGACGUUGUGUUUUGAUGGCCUGUGAGCCUUUUGAGCGGCCUAUGUGCCUUGAGUCUUUUUGACUUGUCUUUACUGUUUAGUUUUCUCGCCUAUGCAUCUUAAUACUGUAAGAUGUGGCAUAAUACUCCCGAUUAGAUUUGUUUCCGCUUUAUGUUUAAUGGAUGUUUAGAUUGCUUAUC